UUGCCGUCCUGCUUCUUCGUCUUUCCCCUCAGGAGGAGUCGGGAAGGUGGCGGCGG
rnacentral:miRNA from 1 species